UGAUCGCAUGGUCGUGCCGGGAAAGCUCCGACGGUCCGGGAUGGGCCCGCGGACUAUCAGCUUGUUGGUGGGGUAACGGCCUACCAAGGCGGCGACGGGUAGCUGGUCUGAGAGGACGGCCAGCCACACUGGGACUGAGACACGGCCCAGACUCCUACGGGAGGCAGCAGUAGGGAAUCUUGCGCUAAUGCGCGAAAGCGUGACGCAGCGACGCCGCGUGCGGGAUGAAGGCCCUCGGGUCGUAAACCGCUUUCGGCAGGGGACGAAGCGAAAGUGACGGUACCUGCAGAAGAAGUCCCGGCUAACUACGUGCCAGCAGCCGCGGUAACACGUGGGGGACGAGCGUUGUCCGGAUUCAUUGGGCGUAAAGAGCGCGUAGGCGGCUCGGAAAGUCGGUUGUGAAAUCCUGGGGCUCAACCCCGGAACUGCGUCCGAUACUUCCGAGCUGGAGGCAGGUAGGGGAGAUCGGAAUUCCUGGUGUAGCGGUGAAAUGCGCAGAUAUCAGGAGGAACACCGGUGGCGAAGGCGGAUCUCUGGGCCUUGCCUGACGCUGAGGCGCGAAAGCUAGGGGAGCGAACAGGAUUAGAUACCCUGGUAGUCCUAGCCGUAAACGUUGGGUGCUAGGUGUGGGCGGAUAUCGACCCCGUCCGUGCCGAAGCUAACGCAUUAAGCACCCCGCCUGGGGAGUACGGCCGCAAGGCUAAAACUCAAAGGAAUUGACGGGGGCCCGCACAAGCGGCGGAGCAUGCGGCUUAAUUCGAUGCGACGCGAAGAACCUUACCUGGGCUUGACAUG
rnacentral:rRNA from 1 species